CACGUAGGGGGCGAGCGUUGUCCGGAUUUAUUGGGCGUAAAGAGCUCGUAGGCGGCUCAGUAAGUCAGGUGUGAAAACUCCAGGCUCAACCUGGAGACGCCACUUGAUACUGCUGUGGCUAGAGUCCGGUAGGGGAGCAUGGAAUUCCUGGUGUAGCGGUGAAAUGCGCAGAUAUCAGGAGGAACACCAGUGGCGAAGGCGGUGCUCUGGGCCGGAACUGACGCUGGAGGAGCGAAAGCGUGGGGAGCAAACAGG
rnacentral:rRNA from 1 species